rnacentral:antisense_RNA from 1 species
CUUGAUCGAGCCGAGCCACAGCGGCCGGUCCCGGUCCCGGCCGUAGGUGGCGAGCAGCGCCUGGGCCUC